GAUGAACGCUGGCGGCGUGCCUAAUACAUGCAAGUCGAGCGAACAGACGAGGAGCUUGCUCCUCUGACGUUAGCGGCGGACGGGUGAGUAACACGUGGAUAACCUACCUAUAAGACUGGGAUAACUUCGGGAAACCGGAGCUAAUACCGGAUAAUAUAUUGAACCGCAUGGUUCAAUAGUGAAAGACGGUUUUGCUGUCACUUAUAGAUGGAUCCGCGCCGCAUUAGCUAGUUGGUAAGGUAACGGCUUACCAAGGCAACGAUGCGUAGCCGACCUGAGAGGGUGAUCGGCCACACUGGAACUGAGACACGGUCCAGACUCCUACGGGAGGCAGCAGUAGGGAAUCUUCCGCAAUGGGCGAAAGCCUGACGGAGCAACGCCGCGUGAGUGAUGAAGGUCCUCGGAUCGUAAAACUCUGUUAUUAGGGAAGAACAAAUGUGUAAGUAACUAUGCACGUCUUGACGGUACCUAAUCAGAAAGCCCCGGCUAACUACGUG
rnacentral:rRNA from 1 species